rnacentral:pre_miRNA from 1 species
GUGAGAUGGAAUCAGCGUUUGGACAUGCGAUAUUACGCUGAUUUCAUAUCAUGA